AGCUUUAUAGUCAAAUUUAUGAUUUUAGACUGCAAUUCUGAAGUUGGGCAUGUUUCCCUAAAGCUU
rnacentral:tRNA from 1 species